GCAGAACGGGACACAUUCCUGUGGGCGAGACUCAAAUGAAACAUGGAAGUGAAAGGACACAGGGAGUUAAGGUGACAGACAGGAAGCCGUAGAAAGCUAAAGGAAGACCGAGGGGACCCGAAGGAUGAAGAAGACGAGAUUAAGGAACCCGCAGCUGGCGAAGCCCGCCCUUCAGCCUUUACAAGGACUCGGGAGCUGUCCGUUCAGCACCCCGCUGCCUGCCUGGCGCAGAGACCCAGGGUCUGGUCGGUCUUACGUGGUCCCCCGGCAGAAGGACACGUCCCAAGGUUCCCUACCCCCGCCCCCGUGUCAAGCUGCUUCGUGCGGUGUCCUCGGGCUCCACUUGGCCGUCUCUGUAUCUCUGAGGACUUUUACUGUGUGUGUCAUUCCAGGCCAGCCCCAGCCUCUUUGCCAUCUCCCUGUCUCUGAGAGACUGACUAAUCACCCUGUCCUGGGGCUGGAUGCAGUUGAAGUGGCUACCAUCGCGGAUUUUUCUGUUCGCGCCCCCUCCCUCUUUGUGCUCUUCUCUAAUUUUGAACCCACAGAAU
rnacentral:lncRNA from 1 species